GAUUUGACGCUGGCGGCAGGCCUAACACAUGCAAGUCGAGCGGUAGCACAGAGAGCUUGCUCUCGGGUGACGAGCGGCGGACGGGUGAGUAAUGUCUGGGAAACUGCCUGAUGGAGGGGGAUAACUACUGGAAACGGUAGCUAAUACCGCAUAACGUCGCAAGACCAAAGUGGGGGACCUUCGGGCCUCAUGCCAUCAGAUGUGCCCAGAUGGGAUUAGCUGGUAGGUGGGGUAACGGCUCACCUAGGCGACGAUCCCUAGCUGGUCUGAGAGGAUGACCAGCCACACUGGAACUGAGACACGGUCCAGACUCCUACGGGAGGCAGCAGUGGGGAAUAUUGCACAAUGGGCGCAAGCCUGAUGCAGCCAUGCCGCGUGUGUGAAGAAGGCCUUCGGGUUGUAAAGCACUUUCAGCGGGGAGGAAGGCGGUGAGGUUAAUAACCUCAUCGAUUGACGUUACCCGCAGAAGAAGCACCGGCUAACUCCGUGCCAGCAGCCGCGGUAAUACGGAGGGUGCAAGCGUUAAUCGGAAUUACUGGGCGUAAAGCGCACGCAGGCGGUCUGUCAAGUCGGAUGUGAAAUCCCCGGGCUCAACCUGGGAACUGCAUUCGAAACUGGCAGGCUAGAGUCUUGUAGAGGGGGGUAGAAUUCCAGGUGUAGCGGUGAAAUGCGUAGAGAUCUGGAGGAAUACCGGUGGCGAAGGCGGCCCCCUGGACAAAGACUGACGCUCAGGUGCGAAAGCGUGGGGAGCAAACAGGAUUAGAUACCCUGGUAGUCCACGCUGUAAACGAUGUCGAUUUGGAGGUUGUGCCCUUGAGGCGUGGCUUCCGGAGCUAACGCGUUAAAUCGACCGCCUGGGGAGUACGGCCGCAAGGUUAAAACUCAAAUGAAUUGACGGGGGCCCGCACAAGCGGUGGAGCAUGUGGUUUAAUUCGAUGCAACGCGAAGAACCUUACCUGGUCUUGACAUCCACAGAACUUUCCAGAGAUGGUUUGGUGCCUUCGGGAACUGUGAGACAGGUGCUGCAUGGCUGUCGUCAGCUCGUGUUGUGAAAUGUUGGGUUAAGUCCCGCAACGAGCGCAACCCUUAUCCUUUGUUGCCAGCGGUUAGGCCGGGAACUCAAAGGAGACUGCCAGUGAUAAACUGGAGGAAGGUGGGGAUGACGUCAAGUCAUCAUGGCCCUUACGACCAGGGCUACACACGUGCUACAAUGGCAUAUACAAAGAGAAGCGACCUCGCGAGAGCAAGCGGACCUCAUAAAGUAUGUCGUAGUCCGGAUUGGAGUCUGCAACUCGACUCCAUGAAGUCGGAAUCGCUAGUAAUCGUAGAUCAGAAUGCUACGGUGAAUACGUUCCCGGGCCUUGUACACACCGCCCGUCACACCAUGGGAGUGGGUUGCAAAAGAAGUAGGUAGCUUAACCUUCGGGAGGGCGCUUACCACUUUGUGAUUCAUGACUGGGGUGAAGUCGUAACAAGGUAACCGUAGGGGAACCUGCGG
rnacentral:rRNA from 1 species